AUGGGAGGGGCGGAGGCGGCCGUCGUGGAGGCCGCGUCGACCGCUGCGGCAGCGGAGGCCGCUGAGGGCGGAGAGGACGGGCGGAUGGAGGGGUGGCUCUACCUGAUCCGAUCCAACCGGCUAGGGCUGCAGACCUCGCGCAAGAGGUACUUCGUGCUCGAGGACUCCGCGCUCCGCUGCUUCAAGGCCGCCCCGGCGCCUUCCUCCUCCAGCUCCAAGCGCGAGGAUCCUGUUAGAAGUGCAGUAAUUGACUCUUGUAUACGUGUUACGGACAACGGGAGAGAAAGUGUUCAUAGAAGUGUUUUUUACAUAUUCACACUCUACAAUGCCUCUAACCACUAUGAUCAGCUGAAGUUGGGUGCUAGAAGCUCAGAAGAAGCAGCAAGAUGGAUCAGGUGCUUAAUGGAGUCUGCCUUAAAGUCCCCCAGAAAAGAUGAGCAUGUUGUUGCUUGUUCACAUAGAAGGUGGCAGGCUUUCAGACUAAGCCGCCGCAGUAACCGCAUGCACUCAAUAGAUUGGACAAUAUUGUCAUCUUCUCAUAAUGAUCCAAUGGCAUCUGAUGUUAUUGCACCUUCUGCAUGGACAAUAUUUGGCUGUACAAACGGAUUACGUUUGUUUACUGAGGCAAAGGAUGGUGGCUCACGUGGGAAGUAUUGGGAUGAUCAUCCAGCUAUAAUGGCAGUUGGUGUCGUUGAUGCAAAUUCUGAGGAUAUCUUCCAGACUUUAAUGUCUCUUGGUCAAUCAAGAUCCGAGUGGGACUUCUGUCUGCGGGAAGGAAGGGUGGUUGAGCAUCUAGAUGGACAUUCAGACAUAAUCCACAAGAAAUUAAGAGGGGACUGGCUACCAUGGGGAAUGAGAAAGAGAGAUCUAUUACUUAGACGAUAUUGGAGGAGAGAAGACGAUGGAACUUAUGUUAUCCUGUACCACUCUGUUUUCCACAACAGAUGCAGUCCUGAGAAAGGCUACAUCCGUGCAUGUCUUAAAAGUGGAGGAUAUGUAAUAUCACCAGUUAGCCAAGGAAGACAAUCAGUUGUGAAGCAUAUGCUUGCUAUAGACUGGAAAUUCUGGAAGUCAUAUCUCCUUACCUCAUCCGCAAAAUACAUCACCAUACGUAUGCUAGGAAGAGUAGCAGCCCUACGAGAAUUAUUCCGAGCAAAAAAUGGAAACUGCGCUUGUAUGGAAUUCUCAUCGGGUGAGCUGAUGAGGGAUAUGGGACUGCCGCAGGGUGGAAACGAGCGGACAAAAAUAGAAAUGCAGUCAGCAAAUGAGUGUGAAAGACUUGAGGGUCCUGUAGAAGGACCACAGGGUGGUUCUAACCGGCACUUAAGCAGUACUGGUUCCCUUGUUCAACUUAAUGAUGCAACGGAUGAGUUCUUUGAUGUCCCAGAUGAAUCAGAAUAUGAUCAGAGAGAAGCCAUGUGGUCUUCUGAUGAGAGCACACAUGCUGCGGACCAACGACAUGCUAAAUUAUCCAGUGCUGCUGUCUUUGUACGGAAGUUGCAUGAUCUUGCAGUUCAAAAGAGAGGGUACGUUGAUUUACAGGGAGCUGCAGAUGCUGAUAAUGGACCAUGUUACUAUGGACAUACUCUCCCAAAAGAUUCUAGCUGUACAAUGCCUUCUAGUUGGUCAAUGACAGACCCGACAACAUUCUUAAUACGGGGAGAAUCCUAUUUGCUUGAUCGUCAAAAGAUCAAAGCAGAGAAUACACUGAUGCAAAUGGUUGGUGCUGACUGGAUAAAAUCUGAUAAGCGUGAGGAUGAUCUUGCUGGUCGUCCUGGCGGACUAGUCCAGAAAUAUGCAGCACAAGGAGGCAGCAAAUUUUUCUUCAUUGUAAAUAUACAGGUUCCUGGUUCUACCACGUACAGCUUAGCUUUGUAUUAUAUGAUGGAUACCCCAUUGGAAAAGGUUCCUCUACUUGAAAGAUUUGUAAAUGGAGAUGAUACAUUCAGAAACUCAAGGUUCAAACUCAUCCCUUAUAUCUCAAAGGGAUCUUGGAUUGUGAAGCAGAGUGUGGGCAAGAAAGCUUGUUUGGUUGGUCAAGCACUAGAAAUCAAUUAUUUCCGUGGAAGCAACUAUUUGGAGCUUGGAGUUGAUAUAGGCUCGUCAACAGUGGCACGAGGUGUGGUGAGCCUUGUGCUCGGGUACUUGAACAACCUGGUGAUUGAGAUGGCCUUCUUGGUACAGGGCAACACGCAAGAAGAGCUCCCGGAGUUCCUCCUAGGCACCUGCCGACUGAAUUAUCUCGACGCCUCCAAAGCUGUAUCGCUAGACGAAUGCUGA
rnacentral:rRNA from 1 species